CCAGUCGGCUGGGCGACCGCUGCCGCAAGGGCCGAAAGGCCGCGGGGGAGGAAAGUCCGGGCUCCACGGAGAAACGGUGCCGGGUAACGCCCGGCGGGGGCGACCCCAGGGACAGUGCCACAGAGAACAGACCGCCUUCAUGAUCUCCGGAUCGCGGGAAGGUAAGGGUGAAACGGUGGGGUAAGAGCCCACCGCGCGACCGGCAACGGAAGCGGCACGGUAAACCCCACCGGGAGCAAAACCGAAUAGGAACGACGCGGCGGGCAACCGUCAGCCCUCUCCGGGCCGGUCGUUCGGGUGGGUUGCUUGAGGCGGCGCGCGAGCGUCGUCCCAGAGGAAUGGUCGCCCAAGGCAGCUUCCGAGCUGCCGGACAGAACCCGGCUUACAGGCCGACUGGCAUU
rnacentral:RNase_P_RNA from 1 species